rnacentral:rRNA from 1 species
AGCACUUUGAAAAGAGAGUGCAAGAGAACGUGAAAUCGAUAUAAUGGAAGCGGAUGACGUUGACGUAUCUAGCAUGUAUUCAGCUGAUUUGCUGUUUGAUACAUUUGAUUUGGUGUUCAUUGUUGUCACCGGUUGAAUGUGUUAAGCUGUUAAUUAGUGCAUUUGCAUGUGGAGUGCGACGGAUUAGCUGAUGUUGUUGGUGGAAAGCGUUAGUAGAGGACGUUUAGCUUGCUAAAUGAAACCUGCUUCGUUGGAUGCUAAUUAAUGUUGGUUGAUUUGCUUUGAAGCAUUGGCCCACGAUCUCAGGAUCACUUUGCUUUAUUCGUCGUAUAGUCAAUUACUCAUUCGACCCGUCUUGAAACACGGACCAAGGAGUUUAUAAUACACGCGAGUCAUUGAGUGUUAAAACUUAUAGGCGUAAUGAAAGUGAAACUGUUCAACGGUUGAAACGUGAUCGGUGUUUUCGGAUGCCGAGCAACGUUGCCCCAUUCCUAAAACUUGUUUUGGUGUGGAGGUUGAGCGUGUAUAAUGAGACCCGAAAGAUGGUGAACUAUGCCUGAACAGGAUGAAGCCAGAGGAAACUCUGGUGGAAGUCCGAAGCGAUUCUGACGUGCAAAUCGAUCGUCUGAUU